CUACGGGUUGCACCAGUGGGGAAUCUUAGACAAUGGGCGCAAGCCUGAUCUAGCCAUGCCGCGUGAGUGACGAAGGCCUUAGGGUCGUAAAGCUCUUUCGCUGGGGAAGAUAAUGACAGUACCCAGUAAAGAAACCCCGGCUAACUCCGUGCCAGCAGCCGCGGUAAUACGGAGGGGGUUAGCGUUGUUCGGAAUUACUGGGCGUAAAGCGCGCGUAGGCGGAUCAGAAAGUUGGGGGUGAAAUCCCGGGGCUCAACCCCGGAACUGCCUUCAAAACUCCUGGUCUUGAGUUCGAGAGAGGUGAGUGGAAUUCCGAGUGUAGAGGUGAAAUUCGUAGAUAUUCGGAGGAACACCAGUGGCGAAGGCGGCUCACUGGCUCGAUACUGACGCUGAGGUGCGAAAGCGUGGGGAGCAAACAGGAUUAGAUACCCGCGUAGUC
rnacentral:rRNA from 1 species